rnacentral:rRNA from 1 species
AGCGAACGCUGGCGGCAGGCUUAACACAUGCAAGUCGAACGGAUCCUUCGGGAUUAGUGGCGGACGGGUGAGUAACACGUGGGAACGUGCCCCUUGGUUCGGAACAAUUCAGGGAAACUUGAGCUAAUACCGGAGGUGCCCUUCGGGGGAAAGAUUUACCGCCAUUGGAGCGGCCCGCGUCUGAUUAGCUAGUUGGUGAGGUAACGGCCCACCAAGGCGACGAUCAGUAGCUGGUCUGGGAGGAUGAUCAGCCACACUGGGACUGAGACACGGCCCAGACUCCUACGGGAGGCAGCAGUGGGGAAUCUUGCGCAAUGGGCGAAAGCCUGACGCAGCCAUGCCGCGUGAAUGAUGAAGGUCUUAGGAUUGUAAAAUUCUUUCAGCGGGGACGAUAAUGACGGUACCCGCAGAAGAAGCUCCGGCUAACUUCGUG